ACAUAUAUUAUAAAUAAAUACAUAGGUACCGUUUGGAAACUCUAAAUAGGUGCAUUAGAGAUGAAAAUGAAUCACCAGCGGUAAUAAAUACCGAAGUGUUGUUAACAAAUUUUAUGUUUAGCGGUACUGCCUCUCUAAAUCUGGUAUUCUGUUUUACAAUUUCGGGCUCGAUCAUUUCUAAUAACGAAAAGAAAUUUCGCGUGAAGUUUCCAAACGGAAAGUCUUCGUCCAAUUGCGAACCGUUAAUAAUACCGAAGUUUCGUGUUUGAAAACAAUUGUCUAUCCAUUUGGAACGCUUAUUCUCACGUUUUCUUUGUCGCGUUCACGAUAAUAUAGUACGCCGCAGAAAUACCGAGAAGUAAACUAGAAUGCGACAUACUUCCAGUUUCAACUAUACCGCACGGUGAAAAACGACUGCCGGUGUAGAGGCGCCUGUGAGGUGUGCACAGAAAAAUACGUGCGUUUAAAGCGCUCAACAAUCGCAUGCGCUUGUCGAAUGACGAAGAGCAAGUUGAAACGCAAGUGGAAUCGACAGUCGAAAACGAAAACGCACUAGUGUGUGGACAUACCUUACCACAGUCUCCACGGUGUGUUGGUAGUCGACCCGCGUCGGUUCUUCCAUGGAAUAUUUAUUCCGGAACCGCAUCACCGACAAACAUGAUAAUUGUUAACGAAAUAUUAUCGCGGCGGCACUAUAUAAAUUGAAUAAUA